rnacentral:lncRNA from 1 species
AUUGCAAAGCUGUCUGAUUAUUGACUUUUGGUGAAGGCUUUUGGUUAGUGAUUCAAUUUACUUUUUUCUUUUUGACUGUUUUUUACACAGACUCCGCAGAGCUAACCUGGAACUCUCUUUCUUAGCCUAGCCUAAUCUCAAACUUGAGGCUGUUUAGCCUCGGCCUCCCUCCUGAGUCGUGAGGCUUCAUAAAUAGUUACGUUCUUUGCUUCAACUUCUUGUGAAUAUUUAUAUUAAAAAGUUGUAAGCAACUUUUAAAUUUAUAUGUGUGUGCACAGGAAUGUGCAUACAUCAUUUUGCAUGUGGAUAGCUUGUAGAAGUCAAUUCUCUUCAGCUAUAGAUUCUGGAAUUAUAUGUAAAUAUAUAUUUUGGUGCCAAGAGCCUUUGCAUUUUCUAUCAAAUUAAUUUUUCAUUUAUUAUCUCAUAUCUUCACCCUCUGUUUAAUUUGCUCCUGUUUGUUUUUGUGAAUGUGUAUGUAUGUGAUAUAUGCGUUCUUGUGUGUGCGAAACAGAAGUCAGUGAUGGGUGUUUUCCUUUAUUCAUCUCUGUCUCGCUGCACCUGGAGCUCACCAGUUCAGCAAUACUGGCUGGCCAGCAAGCUUCAGAGCGCCUCCUGACUCUGCCUGUAUGACCCUGGGAUUGUGUGCAUUCUCAGACAGAGCUGCCCAUGCCUGGCCACUAUGCAGGUUACUGACUGGAUCGUCUCUCCACCUCACCCCCAUUGUUUUGGUUCCUAUAUAAAGCUAUCUCAUUGAUUUGCAAUCUUGUAUAGUAUAAGUGGUACGUGUGUGGAGGUCAGAGGAUGACUUGCAAAAAUCAGUUUUCUCCACCAAUUGGAUCCUGGGAAUCUAUAGCUCAGGUUGUCAGUCUUGGCAGGCUAACACCUUUGUCUUCUGAGCCCUCCUGCUUGCCUUGAUUCCGAAGUUCACCUUGUUUUAAUGGAAGGAAAUUAUAUUUGAUUUCAUUCUUUGUAUUCUUUUGUUGUUGUUGUUUUUAUUUCAUUCUUUGUAAACUUAAAACUUGUAUGGCCUAACCAGUGCUCUGGCCCAGAGAAUGUUCUGAGGAGAGCACGCAUGCUGAUUUGGGUGGGUGUUCUGGUAUCUGGGAAGGCACGUAGGAAACAUUCACUGUUUCCCUGUUCAUCUUCAAUCCGUAGGACAUUGAAGUCUUCAUCCCCAUUGAAGCUUCAUCCCCAGUUGUUCACUAUUUCCCCUCAGUUCUAGCAGCUGUGGCUUUAUGUGUUCUAUUCUUUGGAUGGAUUCAUUCUACCUAAUGCUGUUGUUCCUUGUGUCAUGUAUAUAGAGUUUUGCUCACAUAUUUUUAUCUGAAGUUGCUAGAAAUAUCCUCUCGUUUUAUAGUUUAUAUGUCUCUGCACCAACCCUUUCUUUUCAUUAUGUUUGUGUCUGUAGAGAGGCUAUAGUUAGAUAAUAUUUUUAAAAUCCAUUUCCCCAGCCUCCACUUUUUCAAAUUAGAGAGUUAAAUUUUUUCUUUCAUCUAAAA